AACUGUAUACCAGUUCAGUUCAGUGGACUUAACUGUGAAGCACAGAUUUUUCUCCAACUGAGAAUUUCAUCUCCAAAAACCUGGAAGCUAGGGUUCGAGAGAGAAUUGAGAGAAAUGCGAAGAGAGUUUCAUGGUUACUUCCCGAAUAUGUAAUAGGAGGCUCUAUUCAUGGACCAGAGGAUGCCUACAAAGGAUGGAAGCUGCAAAAGAAGCUGAUUGAGGGGUGCGAAUAAACCCUUUGUUAAAGCUGGUGCGAAGUCACUCGAAGAGGAGUCCGAAGCAUGCCGUCGAAGGCUCAUCGUUUUCUAGGGUUUGCCGCCGUAAUAAUGUUUUUCCCUUUCCCUUUCAAAAGGGAUAUAUGUUAUGACUUUCUUGCAUUAUAAAUGAGUGUUUGUUUUCAGGUGAAUUCUUGGCAUUUACUGGAGGAAGGUUGAGUGGGAAGGAAAUAAUUGCUGUUGAGCUGGCAACUCAUUUUGUCCUUUCUGUGGUUUGAUUAUCUUUAGUCUCUGCAAUCUAUGACUUUCUCUUUUCAUAAAGUUUCGUCCAAAAAGGAAAAAUUCAAUAAAAUGAAUUUCAAUUAUAACAAAUAUGCUUAUCAGUUUAAAAAGAAAACCUCAUCUUGUUUUAGGCCUAUGGUAAGCAGCUUUAAUAGAUUUGUUUACAUUUUCUGUUUUAUGCUCUCAGGACAUUGGUCCAUUGAAAUAAUGUCUUGUCAAAUUUGUAUGAAAAAGGAGAAAAACUAGUAAAAGAAGCACCGGGAUGUUCACUUAAAAGUGCUUCUCAGUGUUCAAGUCAUGGGUGUUUGUUAUGUAUAGUAGGUGUUUUAAGUGUUACUUUGAAAGAUGAUUCUUACAUUUUUGGUGUACCAGAAAAUUGGUGAGCUAGAGAAGCGCUUGAUUAGCUUGAAUUUGGAAGUGAGGCUAAAAGUGAAGAUUUGGAAUGGCAGACCCUUCAUCCAAUCACAAAGUCAAUGCAACCAUUUGACUGCCUUGAUCUUCGCACGUGGAGCUGAGUCUCUUGCUUGAACCUCGUUCCCUUGGACGAAGCUUCCCUAAGUCUUCCUGGCUCCUCCUCACCAUAAAUGCAACUUUUUUUUCUUAUCUGUUUUUCAUGAGUUUUUGUCUCAUGUAGACAAACUGAGAUCCAAGAAGACAAGACCAUGUAAGUAUUCUGAGAUUUUAAUAACAAUUGUUGUUUGUUUUGGUUGUUAAAAUAUUACUAGACUACCAGUUUGUUGAUGAAAUUUCUGUGACAGAAUAUCCCCCUCAAGACUCAGUCAUGUAUAGACCAUUCAUGAUAUGCGAUGAACGAUAAACACAUAUUACUUAUCCCUCUGCUUGUAAACAGAAAUAGGUACCCUUUAUUGAUAGUGUGUUUUGGUCUGUCUCAGAAUCAGAACAAGGUUCCAACCUCAACGCCUCAACCAGUGAUUUUCUUAUGAUGCAAAGACCUGCCAAAGGGUGAAAAAUCAAUUUGUAUGGUUUUGCUUCUGAUAAACCUGGCCCUGAAAUAUCUCAAGAGAAAUACAAUAUAAAUAGGCAUUUAAUAUUUGUUGACUUCAUUAUAAUUAGGCAAGGUAUGUUUUGAUGUUCAUUCAUUAUUUACAAAUGAGAAGACCUGUCAUCCUUCCAUGCUUGCAGAUAAGCGGAAGAAAAGAGGGCAUUUAUUGAGGCCAAAAGAGGGGAAGAUUUCUUGAUGGUAGAAGAGAUAUUUGCAAAGUACAGGGCAACUGGAACAGCCCCAAAGAAACUCUUUUCAUAUCAACUGGAGGUUACUCAAGGAUUUUGUGACCCUAACCCUACAGAAUAUGUUGAUAGUGAGAAAACAAAGCCAAAUGUAAUUUUCUAUUAGGGUUUGAAAUCUAACAAAAAUAAUUUCCUGGACAUCGAUUCAGUAAAGGGGGAGUGCAUGAAGAUUAUAAAGAAUGGCUAUGAAGGUUCUCCUGGGAGGAUGGAGAUGUCCAUCAGCAGCCAGAUUGAUGUUAAGAAAAGAAAUCUGUUCUUCCGUAUUGGCUUGUUUGCAAUGUAUCACCAGUUCCAGUGAAGAUUAUAGUGGCUAGAUCUAUUUUAUUUUGAUUUAUCUGCUAUCUUGUUGUAUUAUAGACCUGUAUAUUCUAUAUUAUAUUGUAAGUAUAUGAUGAAACAAGUGUGUCAAAAAAAUGAGAAAUGUAAGAACAAAAUUGAGCAUUGUUUUUUUUUUUUAAAUAA